AAAGCAUUCUCUGGUGUUGAAGGCCCUGCAAAGCAGCAUCGCGGUGGCGGAGCGUCGUUUGCGACGCCCAACACACAAAACAAGCGGUGAGUGCUUUGGGGUGGGGUGACUGCGUACCUUUUGUAUAAUGGGUCAGCGACUUAUAUUCUGUAGCAAGGUUAACCGUAUAGGGGAGCCGUAGGGAAACCGAGUCUUAACCGGGCGUUAAGUUGCAGGGUAUAGACCCGAAACCCGGUGAUCUAGCCAUGGGCAGGUUGAAGGUUGGGUAACACUAACUGGAGGACCGAACCGACUAAUGUUGAAAAAUUAGCGGAUGACUUGUGGCUGGGGGUGAAAGGCCAAUCAAACCGGGAGAUAGCUGGUUCUCCCCGAAAGCUAUUUAGGUAGCGCCUCGUGAAUUCAUCUUCGGGGGUAGAGCACUGUUUCGGCUAGGGGGUCAUCCCGACUUACCAACCCGAUGCAAACUGCGAAUACCGGAGAAUGUUAUCACGGGAGACACACGGCGGGUGCUAACGUCCGUCGUGAAGAGGGAAACAACCCAGACCGCCAGCUAAGGUCCCAAAGUCAUGGUUAAGUGGGAAACGAUGUGGGAAGGCCCAGACAGCCAGGAUGUUGGCUUAGAAGCAGCCAUCAUUUAAAGAAAGCGUAAUAGCUCACUGGUCGAGUCGGCCUGCGCGGAAGAUGUAACGGGGCUAAACCAUGCACCGAAGCUGCGGCAGCGACACUGUGUGUUGUUGGGUAGGGGAGCGUUCUGUAAGCCUGCGAAGGUGGCCUGUGAGGGUUGCUGGAGGUAUCAGAAGUGCGAAUGCUGACAUAAGUAACGAUAAAGCGGGUGAAAAGCCCGCUCGCCGGAAGACCAAGGGUUCCUGUCCAACGUUAAUCGGGGCAGGGUGAGUCGACCCCUAAGGCGAGGCCGAAAGGCGUAGUCGAUGGGAAACAGGUUAAUAUUCCUGUACUUGGUGUUACUGCGAAGGGGGGACGGAGAAGGCUAUGUUGGCCGGGCGACGGUUGUCCCGGUUUAAGCGUGUAGGUGUGUGUUCCAGGUAAAUCCGGUUCACUUUAACACUGAUGCGUGAUGACGAGGCACUACGGUGCUGAAGCAACAAAUGCCCUGCUUCCAGGAAAAGCCUCUAAGCAUCAGGUAACAUCAAAUCGUACCCCAAACCGACACAGGUGGUCAGGUAGAGAAUACCAAGGCGCUUGAGAGAACUCGGGUGAAGGAACUAGGCAAAAUGGUGCCGUAACUUCGGGAGAAGGCACGCUGACA
rnacentral:rRNA from 1 species